rnacentral:rRNA from 1 species
GACGAACGCUGGCGGCGUGCUUAACACAUGCAAGUCGAACGGAAAGGCCCUGCUUUUGUGGGGUGCUCGAGUGGCGAACGGGUGAGUAACACGUGAGUAACCUGCCCUUGACUUUGGGAUAACUUCAGGAAACUGGGGCUAAUACCGGAUAGGAGCUCCUGCUGCAUGGUGGGGGUUGGAAAGUUUCGGCGGUUGGGGAUGGACUCGCGGCUUAUCAGCUUGUUGGUGGGGUAGUGGCUUACCAAGGCUUUGACGGGUAGCCGGCCUGAGAGGGUGACCGGCAAAAUUGGGACUGAGAUACGGCCCAGCCUCCUACGGGAGGAAGCAGUGGGGAAUAUUGCACAGUGGGCGGAGGCCUGAUGCAGCACCGCCGCGUGCGGGAUGACGGCUUUCGGGUUGUAAACCGUUUUCGCCUGUGCCGAAGCGUGAGUGACGGUAAUGGGUAAAGAAGCACCGGCUAACUACGUG